UACGUAGGGGGCGAGCGUUGUCCGGAAUUACUGGGCGUAAAGCGCGCGCAGGUGGUCUGGCAAGUCCGGCGUGAAAGCUCCCGGCUCAACCGGGAAGGGUCGUCGGAGACGGUCAGACUGGAGGGCGGGAGAGGAGCGUGGAAUUCCCGGUGUAGUGGUGAAAUGCGUAGAGAUCGGGAGGAACACCAGUGGCGAAGGCGGCGCUCUGGCCUGCCCCUGACGCUGAGGCGCGAAAGCGUGGGGAGCGAACGGGAUUAGAUACCCCCGUAGUCC
rnacentral:rRNA from 1 species